rnacentral:rRNA from 1 species
AGCUCCAAUAGCGUAUAUUAAAGUUGUUGCAGUUAAAAAGCUCGUAGUUGGAUUUCUGGCAGGGGGUAGAAGCCGGCUCGCAGCCUGUGCUUGCAAUCCCCUACCAUCCUUCUGUUAACGUGCCAGGGCCUUCACUGGUCGGGCACGGGCUCAGAUAAUUUACCUUGAGAAAAUUAGAGUGUUUCAGGCAGGCUGACGCCGGGAUACAUUAGCAUGGAAUAAUGGAAUAGGACUUUCGCCUCUUCUGUUGGUCUGAGGGGUGAUCGUAAUGAUUAAUAGGGAUAGUUGGGGGCAUUAGUACUUAACUGUCAGAGGUGAAAUUCUCGGAUUUGUUAAAGACUAACUUAUGCGAAAGCAUUUGCCAAGGAUGUUU